GCCGGCGUUCAUGGUUCUCGUCCGUGCAUUUCCUCGGAUGCGUGGGUCACUUGGGUCCGGAGAAUCGCUCACCGGAGCGCAAGGCCCAUCGUGGACCGCACGUCUCGGUGGUUCGGGAACUACUCCGUGCAAUCGUCGCGUGAGGUCACGAGUCACCUGAAGAUCAUCCUGGUACCUGGAAUCUCAAGUCCCUAGCAAGUUGUGCCCUUGAUCACUUUUAUUUACCCAAUAAUGUUCUUUAUAAUCAUUUUAUCAUGCAUAGGCUUAAUUUUGAUGGGACCCAAUAGGUCACCCUAGUUUGGUUAUCUUUUUACCUUGUUCACCCUGAAUCAUUUAGAUAGUUUUACUAUUGCUCCAUAUGGUUUUGGGAUUUGUUGGGGGCCUUCGGCUUUCGAAGGUCCUCAAAAACAUGAUUUAACAAUGUUUCUGGAGUAACAUACAUUAACAGGUAUCUUCGGACUUGGAUUAGAGCCAUGGUAUGAAGAAGCACAAAGAACACGAAGGUUGGCGCAGAGCCGAAGCUGUGUGUAGAAGAGCUUCGGAAUAGCGGCGGAAAAGGGAACCGACUUAAAGAUGAAAAACCAGAUUAGACCUCGAAGAAUUAUCAUAAAGUUAUUGAUAAGUGUAAAGGGCAUUAAUGUAAUUUUGCGUGGGCUGCGACCCGCGCCUAUAAAUAGGUGAACAGUAUCCCCGUACUGUUCACGCGGAUUU
rnacentral:lncRNA from 7 species